GGGAGGGUGCAGGCAGGAGAGGGAAAGGCAGCAGCGGCGGCAGCUGGAGGAUGAAGAAGGAGCAUGUGCUUCACUGCCAGUUCUCCGCGUGGUACCCGUUCUUCCGAGGCGUUACCAUCAAGAGUGUCAUUCUUCCACUUCCUCAGAAUGUGAAGGAUUAUUUACUCGAUGAUGGAACUCUGGUGGUUUCAGGAAGGUAAAGUAUUUUAGAAAAAAAUUUCUUAAACUUUAUCAUAAAGAAACACAUAAAAUGAAUGAAUUAGCUUAGGCACCAUUCUUUCCCUUUAGCUCUUUUU
rnacentral:lncRNA from 1 species